GAUGAAGAACGCAGCGAAAUGCGAUAAGUAAUGUGAAUUGCAGAAUUCCGUGAAUCAUCGAAUCUUUGAACGCACAUUGCGCCCGCUGGUAUUCCGGCGGGCAUGCCUGUUCGAGCGUCAUUUCAACCCUCAAGCCCCCGGGUUUGGUGUUGGGGAUCGGCUCUGCCUUCUGGCGGUGCCGCCCCCGAAAUACAUUGGCGGUCUCGCUGCAGCCUCCAUUGCGUAGUAGCUAACACCUCGCAACUGGAACGCGGCGCGGCCAUGCCGUAAAACCCCAACUUCUGAAUGUUGACCUCGGAUCAGGUAGGAAUACCCGCUGAACUUAAGCAUAUCAAUAAGCGGAGGA
rnacentral:misc_RNA from 1 species